CUUCUGCCAAGCAGAGCAGCACAGCUGCAAGACACCCUGCUUCUGGCUCUGAGCUUUGCUUGUCUUCAGGGAUGGAGCCCCUCCCAAGGCAAGUUCAACUGGGUUCUUUGGCAGCCGAAGUCUACACGGACCCUGCAGGGAGCGGUGGAGAAAAGUUAGAUGUCUGAAGUGUUUUUCAUUGGACCAAAAUCAAGGUGUUGGCUGGGCUACCUUCCCUUCUGGAGACUCUAAGGAAGAAUCCAUUUCCUUGUCUUUUCCAGAUCCUAGAGGCUACCUGCAUUCCUUGGCUUUUAUCCCCAAUCUUCCAUCUUCGGAGCCAGCAACACACCUUUUUCUUCCUUCCAUGAUAUAGAUAUAUUGAUCAUGAGGAGAGGGCUCACCCCUCACCCGGAGAAGUAGUUGGGGAAGCAAUAUGCGGAAACAAAGCCAUGAAUCUGACAAGAAAUGUACUUAAGAUUGUAUAUAUGGAGAUGAAUACCCAUUGUCCUUUGCACUUUCUGGAUGAUAAAUUAGAAAAGAAAAAUCCAAAGAAUGAAGUUGUGCUAUUUGUCCUCACUUCUGAUUUGGGAAACUAGAGGAAAUUAAGAUGGGAAAAGACCAUGUGAGGACACAGUGAGAAGGAGACCAUAUGCAAAGCAGGAAGGAAGAUCUCACUGGAACCAAAAACCAGCCCUGCUGGCACCCUGAUCUUGGACUUCUAGCCUUUCUCAGAACUGUGAGAAAAUAAAUUUCUGAUGUUUCAG
rnacentral:lncRNA from 10 species